AAUUUUGGACAAUGGGGGCAACCCUGAUCCAGCCAUCCCGCGUGUGCGAUGAAGGCCUUCGGGUUUUAAAGCACUUUUGGCAGGGAAGAAAAGGCUCUGGCUAAUACCUGGUGCUUCUGACGGUACCUGCAGGAUAAGCACCGGCUAACUACGUGCCCGCAGCCGCGGUAAUACGUAGGGUGUAAGGGUUAAACGGAAUUAAGGGGCGUAAAGCGUGCGCAGGCGGUUCGGCAAGAAGGAUGUGAAAUCCCAGGGCUUAACCUUGGAACUGCAUUCUUAACUGCCGGGCUAGAGUAUGUCAGAGGGGGGUAGAAUUCCGCGUGUAGCAGUGAAAUGCGUAGAGAUGCGGAGGAAUACCGAUGGCGAAGGCAGCCCCCUGGGAUAAUACUGACGCUCAUGCACGAAAGCGUGGGGAGCAAACAG
rnacentral:rRNA from 1 species